UACGUAGGGUCCGAGCGUUGUCCGGAAUUAUUGGGCGUAAAGAGCUCGUAGGCGGUUUGUCGCGUCUGCUGUGAAAUCCCGAGGCUCAACCUCGGGCCUGCAGUGGGUACGGGCAGACUAGAGUGCGGUAGGGGAGAUUGGAAUUCCUGGUGUAGCGGUGGAAUGCGCAGAUAUCAGGAGGAACACCAAUGGCGAAGGCAGAUCUCUGGGCCGUAACUGACGCUGAGGAGCGAAAGCAUGGGGAGCGAACAGG
rnacentral:rRNA from 1 species